rnacentral:rRNA from 1 species
AUUGAACGCUGGCGGCAUGCCUUACACAUGCAAGUCGAACGGUAACGCGGGACAACCUGGCGACGAGUGGCGAACGGGUGAGUAAUGCAUCGGAACGUGCCCAGUAGUGGGGGAUAGCCCGGCGAAAGCCGGAUUAAUACCGCAUACGACCUACGGGUGAAAGCGGGGGAUCGCAAGACCUCGCGCUUUUGGAGCGGCCGAUGUCAGAUUAGGUUGUUGGUGGGGUAAAGGCCUACCAAGCCUACGAUCUGUAGCUGGUCUGAGAGGACGACCAGCCACACUGGGACUGAGACACGGCCCAGACUCCUACGGGAGGCAGCAGUGGGGAAUUUUGGACAAUGGGCGCAAGCCUGAUCCAGCCAUGCCGCGUGCGGGAAGAAGGCCUUCGGGUUGUAAACCGCUUUUGUCAGGGAAGAAACGCUCUGGGAUAAUACCCCGGGGUAAUGACGGUACCUGAAGAAUAAGCACCGGCUAACUACGUGCCAGCAGCCGCCGUAAUAC